UAGAAUUCUAGGAAAAUUCUUAUUAGUCAUGACUAAAUAAGACCCAGCAGUAGCUAACUAAGUACUAAAUAGUGAAUUAAACAAAUAGUGAUGCCAGAUUUGAGUGUCAUAUAAAAUGGAUUUCUAAAAGAUACAUGGGUGCCACCUUUUGGCCAGAUUAAAAAUUUACACAAAUUAUAACCCACGAUCACAUGUUAAUUUCACAAAGAGACCGUGUUAGACAUGGUUAAUUCAAACAUUAUGUGAAUAGAUUUUAAACUGCCUUGUUGCUUAAUACAGCUGAUUUUUAAUCACAUUUUUUUAUUUUUUAAGACCUGGGAUAGAAGAUAAUACAAAGAGAGUUUAAUUCUGAACUAACGCAACUCAUACUUGCCUGCUGGCUUUUGGACUGGAAUGAUACCAUCGGCUUUCCUGGGUCUCCAGCUCGCCAACUGUAGAUCUUGGAACAUCUCAGCCUCCAAAUUUAAAACAACUAUAUGUAGGAUGUGGAAAGAAGAGAGAAUCCUAAGUUGAUCCAAGAAGAAAAUGUCUGCUUAGUAUUUGCCUCAUACAUUAAUUAAGGUGCAUCUAGCAUUUCCAGUUUUAAGAGCUUGGUAAUCAUGCAA